rnacentral:rRNA from 1 species
GACGAACGCUGGCGGCGUGCUUAACACAUGCAAGUCGAACGGAAAGGCCCUGCUUUUGUGAGGUGCUCGAGUGGCGAACGGGUGAGUAACACGUGAGUAACCUGCCCUUGACUUUGGGAUAACUUCAGGAAACUGGGGCUAAUACCGGAUAGGAGCUCCUGCUGCAUGGUGGGGGUUGGAAAGUUUCGGCGGUUGGGGAUGGACUCGCGGCUUAUCAGCUUGUUGGUGGGGUAGUGGCUUACCAAGGCUUUGACGGGUAGCCGGCCUGAGAGGGUGACCGGCCACAUUGGGACUGAGAUACGGCCCAGACCCCUACGGGAGGCAGCAGUGGGGAAUAUUGCACAAUGGGCGGAAGCCUGAUGCAGCAACGCCGCGUGCGGGAUGACGGCCUUCGGGUUGUAAACCGCUUUCGCCUGUGACGAAGCGUGAGUGACGGUAAUGGGUAAAGAAGCACCGGCUAACUACGUG